CAGACUAAUUCAUAUAAUCAUGUUACCCUGCAGUUCCUGUGACAAAUCAGUAACAUGUUGUGGAGAGAGUGCCUGAGAGUUCCCAUUUUGCCUAUUCAAUAGCACAAGAAAUGUCUGUGGGAGUGUCUGGGAGCCCAUUUCCACCAUAGCCUGAGACUGGCUGGACCACAAGGCUUCCAGAAGAAACUGCUGCUCUAGGGGGUCCCACAGACCAGCUGUCUCAGCAGCGUGAGGCUUUCUGCUUUGCUUCUGUUUCCAGUGAGAUUCGGCAAUGCUUAUGUUUCUGCCAAGGCUCACUGAAAGGAAGGCCUGCGAAGGUUUAGCCUUCAGUUUGAACUGAUUUUGUGCUGACGCUUUCUUGGACCCACAGGAUAUAAUUUCUGGUCAGCUGUAGCUUUUCCUGAAUGCCAGCACAUUUAGCGGUGGCUUCUACAUCUCUGAGACACAUAGGUUAUAAUUUCUAGUAAAAUAAACUAUUUCUUCUUCUUUUUCACAGAACGAAUCAGUAAAUGACUGGAGCUCCAAUGUCAGGCAUUGCUGUACAGUGCCUGGAUGCCUGAACUGGCAGCAGUGAGGAGUUUCUACCUGCAGGACUCAUCUCACCUUCUGCUUCUGCUCUCACCUGUGGCUUGUCCAAAUGUGGUACCUCUGGGACAGGAGCUGAUUUUUGCUUUGCAUUCAUCCCACAUACACGGCAAAGUGAUCCUGCUGCCCAGGCUUAAACAAAAGGGCUUCUGGUUCAUUAGCAUGUUUGAAUAACCCUAUGGGAACCUUCAAGCCUAACUGAGAGGGAACCUGCAGAAGCUGUUCACACAACAAAGGAAUACUUCCUUUCCUGCUCUGGCUACACCACAAAAUAAAGCUGGGGCGGCUGGCUGGAAAAAAGGUGGAGACACAGGAGUGACCGUAACUGCAGUGGGAGAGAAGACCACAGCGCUCAGUGUGCUCAAAUUGAGAGAAGAAAUAAAAUUAUCUACAGCAAGAGUUUUGAAGAACUGGUGUAUAAAACUGCUGAUCUAGGAAGAGAGAUUUUUAAAUCUGGGAGUGCUCCCAUCUGACAGCAGAACAGUAGGCACCGUACCCAUGCUUAUUAAAAAGACAAAGACUAUCUUGGCAGUCAGAGACUUAUCAGUCUUUCUGCAAUCGUGGGCAAUCUUUAGAACAAAUUUUGAAGAAAAGAAUAAUUAAGACCUGAAGGGCAAGUCGAGGAUUUGCAAAGAUAAAUAAGAUGGAGCCAGACUCUUCUCAGUAGCACCCAGUGAAAGGACAAGAAGGAAGCAGCAUAGUUUGAAAUACAGGAGAUUCCACUUAAAGUGCCUCAUCGGGCAUUAAAUUGCUGUGACACCCACCAGCCAGGCCAGCAAGGACUGAAAUAUAAAGAAGCCAACCAGAUACAAGGGCCAUCAAGGGGACACGUAGCAUGGCAAGGAUUUGAAAGCUCAUGUCUCAGGUGAAUAUAGUAUGAGUUUGUGGGUGAUCUCAGUGUCAUCCUGAGAUAAAAGGAUAAAAGAGGACUAAUCCAGGUUCAUGGAGUUUUGUUCAUCUUUUUUUUCUCAGCUUUGCCUGUUGUGUAGUAAGUCUUAUAACAACAUUAAAAUUGCUGUUCUUCUAACAUUCACCACUCUUAUUCAGGAGCAUAAAAUUUCUGCUCAGUAUCCAAGGAGUGAGAGAGAUGCAUAGGAGCAGGAUGACACUAUUUUGGCAGUCACAAACACCAGGACUCUGUGAAGGUGACAUUAGGUAGUGACCAGCCUUUGAACUCCAUCCUUCCCAGCAGGCUGGGGCACCUCCUUUGCUAACACAGGAAGAAACAUGAUCAUCACUGACAUUACACCAUGGUGGAAAGAAGCAAAGUCCUGCCACACAGUCCUGUCUAGUUGCAUAAAAUGUUUCAGAAAUAUUUUCAUAACUUUUCCACCAACUACUGUUAACAGCUACAAGGGCCAAGCUCGAUUACACAAGGUUUCCUCUUAACAUUUCUGGUUAGAAAUAGCUCAAGCCCCUCUCUACCCCCAGCUAGAAACCUGCAAAAGGGAAACUUUCUCUCUCCAGCAAGUUUCUCUUGAGUCCCGAAGCUUCACAGAAAACAAAAAUGUAUUGUGGAGGGGAACUGGAGCAUUCAUCUGCAAACAAACAAAACAUAACUCGUGUAACUGAGGUAGAUAUGUAUAUAUAUGUGUAUAUAUGUGUGUAUAUAUCUGCUUAUGUGUGCAUUUAAAUCCUGAGACAUCGCUCCCCUCCCCUGCUGCUGUGCAUAACAACCCUCUGUCCUCCUGGGGCUUGAGGUAGCAAGGCUGCCUGUGCUUCUGUCCCCACCUCAUGCUUCCCACUGUGUUUGGCUGACAAAAUGCCAGUGCCCAGAAAGGCAUCUGUUGAUAUUAACAACCCAUUCAAGCAGAAUAACCAAAAUGCUUCACUGGGAGACCAGAAGCAAGCAUAAAAGAAUCCUGCUGCCCUGUUGCUGCCCAGAGAAGCUGCGGAUGCUCCAUCCCUGGAAGUGUUCAAGGUCAGGCUGGAUGGGACUUUGAGCAACCUGGUCAAGUGGAAGGUGUCCCUGCUCAUUGCAGGGGGGUUGGAAUUAGAUGAUCUUUAAGGUUCCUUCCAACCCAAACCAUUAUAUGGACUCAGUCAGAUAAAGACACAAAACUUUUGCUUGCGUAUAGCUUGCUGAAAUGAAGAAAGAAAUAGUGUUAGUCUGGUCUGUGCUCAGGUCAGGAGCUCCUGACAAAGAUCUUUGUUUCAUUUACCUUCCUCUCCAACAGACACAGGCCUCUUGCCAUUCUCCUGGACUCUCUACCUUUUUUUUUUUUAAACAUUCCCUGAAUCUUGAAGGCCUUCACCUCCACUGCAAAGGGGAUUUGUUUCAUACAGAUCAUCAAGAUGACCAAACCCUGCAUAGAGCUCAGCUUACACAAUUCCUACUGGGUGUAAAACAUCGUCUCUGCAUGCUUAUUGCUCAUGUGUGAAAAUCAGUGGUGAGUCAUUGACCUACAGCAGUCAGGAGGUGGAGGCAGGGCAGAGUAGAAACUCCUGAAGGCUUUCAUAUCAAAAUCUUAGGGGAAAAUAGCCGUCUCCUAAGUAAAUGUGGCAGUGAAGGGAACUCUUGCCCUUUGGCAAUACAGUUCCCGUGAUGAAAGAUCAGUCACUACUGCUAGGACAUCUGGCAUUUGACCCCCAGACAAUAUUAGACUUGGACAAUUAACUUUGAAAGCUAAUGCCAUAUUUUAUUCACUCUUCUCUUGAGGAAUGAAUUGGAAAGUACUUGGGAGAAUGCCUCUGUUUCUAAUCUCAGGCUGAUACAUGAAUCCAAAAGGUCUUGCUGCCAGCAUUUGAGUUACCAGGGAUGGAGCCAGGCUGACCGGCCAGUUCACACCUCCCUUCCUACUGGGUCAGACACCAGCAAGUGCUGAGUAUGUCCAAACCACCAGCGCACUUGCACCCUUCUCUUCCCUGAAAUCUCUUUACAACAGGAGAAAAGCGGAGUCUCUACCCUCCUUUUAAAACACUAAUGGAAAUAGAAAAUUAGGUCAGAGACAAUGCUACGGCUUUGUAUGCGACAGUCUGCACUUAAGGAAACAGACUGGAAAGAGUCCAGGGCAGACAAAAGAUGAAGAGGAGAAGAAAGUGGAGAUAAAAGUCAGUGGAGCAGCUGGAGCUUGUGCUAACACUCGGGGAGAUUCUGCAGCUAAUGAUGAGAUGAGUGUACAAAAAGAUUUGAAAGUGGAAAGCCAAACUGGGAAGCCAGAUGAAAAGGUGGAAAAGGCAGGUACUGAAGUGUGUAUGGUCAUGGAAGAGAGGCUGGAGAGAGCAAGAAAGUGGGAACAGCAGAACAGAAAGGUUUCCUGAAAGGAGAGACAUCUGUCAUCUACUUUGCCAGGCUCAAAGGAAACCAAAAGGAGUCAGCAGCAUUUCAGCCCUCUCUGCAGCAGGUGGCUUGCAGGCUCCAUCCCCAGCCGGAGCUCUGGGGAGUCACAAUUAAAUGCAGUGAAGUGGAAUAAGAUAGGCUGGGGCACUGCAGCAUGGCAGUGCUGGACGCCUGGAAGGCAAUCUCUAAAUCCGCCUGGGAGUUGUUCCUCUGAUCUGCAAGGAAAAUUGUGCUCACAGUCCUGCUAAGAGCCAAUAAAAGAGAAAGAAUUUGCAAGUUUACUACUUGGUGGUAAAACGUGGAAUUCUGUAGUUGCAGGGGAAGGAGCCCUGCAGCAGAUCUGCGACCUCACACCUUCCUGGCUCUCUCCAGAGGUCAUGGCACCAUUGCUGUCCAGGGUAGUCUUCUUAGGAGCCAUCAUACUUAACAAGUGUGAGAACUCUGCAGUCUUGCACAGCUGUUUGCAGGCAGUUUUCUGAGGAGCAGAGGGAACUGAGGGAGCGGUGCGUGCUUUGUCUUCAGCAAGGCCAUCUUAGUCUCAGCUGUGUGGAACUGGGUACUUAAGCACUCACAGCCUCUCCUCGCACUGUCAGCUCAGUUGGUUAUCUUACGCUCUCUGCUCCAGCCCCACAGGAGAGGGAAACCCAGCCCCUGACAUCUCGCCUGGCACAGCGAUACAAGCACAGCUGCCUCCAGCACAUGUGCUGGGAUCCUCAAAGGGCCUGUUUUCAUUAAAGCCAGCAGCAACCUGCCUUUGGGCCAGACUCUGAGCUUCCUUAUCUCAUCCCAUGUGGAGAUGGAGCAGCAGGAAAGGUGUGAGCCAAGCACGCCUGCCACUGGGGAGCCAGGAACCUGAACCCCAGCUCUUCCUUGUAGGCUCCACGGCUCUGCAAACAUGGAACACCUCCUGGACCAGGGAGUCCAGAACAUCCAGUGGUGGCUUUGCUGUCACCAGGGAGAGACAGGGAGAGUGAAGAGAAGUUCAGCUCUUAAGGCUGGAUGUCUCCUAGUUGUCAAAUCCACGCAGAGCCUGUACCACACCCUGCCAAAGCGAGCAACCUGUUUGUCACAGCACAUGGGCCAUGAGGAACCAGGCACUCACUAGUUGGGGACUUCCCAUUUCAGCCUGGGAUGCUGCUGCCCACUCUCCAUCAGAAAUCAAGGAGUUAAAGAUUACUGCCUUGUCUGUGUACUGGCACCAUUCACUGAUGCUCCAAAACUUCCCACAUACAUAUAAAAGCAGUCCAAAUCCAAGGCUUCAGCAAUAUGAGUGAUGGGAGCUUGGCAGUAUGUUUAAGCACCCUCCUGAGCUAACCUUACAUGAGCAACUGCUCCUGAGGAUCCAGUAGCCAAGUAUCCAACAUGAAUAUGCUGCAUUAGUUGCAUUUGCUUUUGUUUCUAUUAGACAAAUAUUUCUGUUUGUCUCAUUACACAACAGCACCAACAAAACAGCAAAGUAGGUUUUGCAAGCUGCUAUUUAGUUGCUUCACGGCGGUAAAGACUAGUUAUGCCAGUCUUGGGAAGUCGACCUACAUCCUUUCAGCUGUUAUUAUCUUGUCAACUGGGCCAACCUCAUGCUAGCUAGUUCUUGCUCUGUCUUGUUUCAGUCAGUUAGUACAGUGUCUCUCUUUUCAAGGAUUCACGUUUCAUUUGCAUAAGAGCAUCAAUGGAGUAAUUUCAGAAAUAAACGCCCAGCUUAAC